UUGUAAGUUAUAAUGGAGUUAGGCUAACUGCUAACGUUAAUGGUUUAAACUUUAUAAUGAAUAAGAAGGGAUCAACAUGGCGUCCAAACUUGCUGUACUUUUUUCUUCUUCAACUUUUUAGAUCCAAUUUGUUUUAUUUUCUAUGACACAAGGCUCAGUUUACUUUAGGUAAUAUAUUUAAAUAUGUGAUGUCACAAAAAAAUGUGUUAGUGUUAAUAUUUGUACGAAAAUAGCGUUAACAGUUCGCUAGCUGAUGCAUAAACCAAAUUUAGCUUGGUUGAGCGCUUUAGUAGUUAGCUCUAGCCUAGUUGGUUUUAGUCAAUGUCAUUAUUAAUUAAUGGUUGUAGUGUAACAGUGUAAUUAAGUUAUUAAAUUCCUGCAUAAAAUGGGUAUUAUGCCACCUUGGUGGAUCAGUGUGCUUAAAUUGUCAAAUAACUCAGUGAUAAAGGUAUGGAAUUCUAGGUAAUCCACAGUAGAUCUAUGGAGAAUUGCUGUGGGUGAGUUGAACGUUGAAUGAUCCCGGGAUAGAAAUGUAUAAAGUUGACAUUACAUUACAAAGUCCACCUUUUAAAUCGCAAUUUAUGUUAUUAGUAACUAAUGUUGUUGGUUUGGCGUCAAAUAAAUCACUCUGAUAUUUGCCGAAUCUCAGUUUGCCAUGUGGGUUUUAUGCAAGCUAACGUUCCCUCUGAAGUUGGCAGCUAACUUGAAAAUGCAUCUACUUUAGGAGUGCUAUUUAUAUCCCGUCGACUACUCAUCAUUUAUCCAUACUGUGUGUCCCAUGAUUGCAGCUUUGGAAAUAAAUGAACUAUCCAUCCAUUACUCCUUCAUUGGUUGACUCACUGACUUGAGGAACGGGACCAGGAAGGUCACAGUAGCAUUGUUUCGCAAGGCGUCCAGUAAUUUUGAGUUUUUUCGAAUUUGACACUGAUAGUACAGUGAGUUUUAUAUUUAAUGUGUAGAUGUAUGGUGACUACACGUUUGGAUGAACAGACCAACGGGCGAGUCCCUUGACGGGUACCAGGAAUGGUGGAAGGACAAUCUGAAGUUGUCAAAGCAGAUCAGAAUGCCUUCGAAGAUCACCUUCAGGCACGGACUGAGAAGAAUGUGGAGGUUUUUGACCAGGUAAUAAUUAUUGACUCCAGUGGUCAUGCCGCCACCCUGGAGUUUCUCACAACUCAUCUCUUUUCCAGGGAUCAUACCAACCCCACUGACAUCAAAAAUUAGACGUGACCUAGGGUUCUGGCUAACACCCAGACAUGG